AAAAUGGACGCAUUCCAAAAUCUAACGGGAUAUUUCCUCGAAAAGAAGACGAUUUGUAAUGUGAAUUCGCUCGUUCGAGUCAAACGAUGCCAAUUCGCUGUCCGCCAACGUUUACCGUGAAACUGACGCAGUCGGAGUGUUAUAAUAUAGGUGGCGGCGGCGUAGAUUACACACAGACAAUUUCAUGUUCCAUUUCUGCCUUUCAUCGACCUUAACCACGGUGUUCCGCACCGAAAAAUUGUCAAACGUUUCAACGUGCAAAACGGCCAUUUCCCCUAGCCACUGACUACCCUACCCCUC